GUUUCAAGACAGGCGGGGGACUCCCAGUUCCACCAGACACAAAGGAGUUGGGGGACUUGUUGGCUGGGAUUAUUGAAAGUCAGCAACCCCUGGAAGGUAUUCCAGAUGAUGACCAUUUGGACAGUUCAGAUGACCUGAUCUUGACACAGGACUUGGGGGGCGCAGGGAACAGUCAAGAUGCUCAAAUGAAUCCAGCAGCAGCCAGCACCAACAUGCAGCAGCAUCCAGUCUCCUGCAGUAGCAGUAGUCAGCAUCCAGCAGUCUCUAAUCCAGGCAGCAGGUCAAGAGGGAAAAGGAUGACCAUUCAUGAGAAACUUGCCAUAGAGUUCCAUGAACGUAAAUUACAAUAUUUAAAAGAAGAACAUGAAGUCAAAAUGAAAAUCCUUCAUCUUGAGUUGUCUAUGAAAGAGAGAGACAUGAAGCAGCAGCAGUGUCAACUGACUUUGGAACAAAAUCUCAGUUAAAUAAAUAAUUUCAUGAAUUUU